rnacentral:rRNA from 1 species
CCUACGGGAGGCAGCAGUGGGGAAUAUUGGACAAUGGGGGCAACCCUGAUCCAGCCAUGCCGCGUGUGUGAAGAAGGCCCUCGGGUUGGAAAGCACUUUCAGUGAGGAAGAACGCCUGGUGGUUAAUACCCAUCAGGAAAGACAUCACUCACAGAAGAAGCACCGGCUAACUCCGUGCCAGCAGCCGCGGUAAUACGGAGGGUGCGAGCGUUAAUCGGAAUUACUGGGCGUAAAGCGCGCGUAGGUGGCUUGAUAAGCCGGUUGUGAAAGCCCCGGGCUCAACCUGGGAACGGCAUCCGGAACUGUCAAGCUAGAGUGCAGGAGAGGAAGGUAGAAUUCCCGGUGUAGCGGUGAAAUGCGUAGAGAUCGGGAGGAAUACCAGUGGCGAAGGCGGCCUUCUGGACUGACACUGACACUGAGGUGCGAAAGCGUGGGUAGCAAACAGGAUUAGAUACCCCGGUAGUC